GCCCGCAUAGCUCAAUUGGCAGAGCAGGACACUCUUAAUGUCAAGGUUCCAAGUUCGAUUCUUGGUGCGGGCACCA
rnacentral:tRNA from 2 species